rnacentral:rRNA from 1 species
CAGUGGGGAAUAUUGGGCAAUGGGAGCAAGCCGGACACAGCAACGCCGCGUGAAGGAAGAAGGCUUUCGGGUUGGAAACUUCUUUUGUCAGGGAAGAGUAGAAGACGGGACCGGACGAAUAAGCCACGGCUAACUACGUGCCAGCAGCCGCGGGAAGACGUAGGGGGCAAGCGUUGUCCGGAUUUACUGGGUGUAAAGGGCGGGUAGCCGGGUUGAAAAGUCAGAUGUGAAAUCCUGCGGCUUAACCGCAGAACUGCAUUUGAAACUGUUGCUCUUGAGUACUGGAGAGGCAGCCGGAAUUCCUAGUGUAGCGGUGAAAUGCGUAGAUAUUAGGAGGAACACCAGUGGCGACGGCGGUCUGCUGGACAGCACCUGACGGUGAGGCGCGAAAGCGUGGGGAGCAAACCGGAUUAGAUACCCCAGUAGUC